AGAAACCCACGCUUAAGAGCAGCUGGGUGGCCUGGAGCAGGUCAUCGGACAAUCUGAGCCUCAGCGCCCUCAACCAAUCCCUCGGGAGGUGUUGCAGGCCCAGCCAUGGAACCUACGAGGGUAGAAGGAAGUUUUUCCUCCUCUGCAUCAUAUCCAUCACGCCCUAAAGUUUCUUCCUGCCCAUUGGGAAUCCCUCCUUCCUGCUCCUCCCCUCUUUAAAGCCUGUGGUUCUAAAGCGUGCUGUUGCGAACGGCGCUGCUGUGAACAUUCUUGUACGAGACUUUGGCGCCCGUCUGCGCACACUUCCGCUGGCGUGGACUGCUAGGCCAGCGUGCGUGCUUGUGCUCAGCCUCUGGAAAUAGUGCCCGUGGCAGCAGCUCCCAGGAUGGUCCCAUUGAUCCCUGCUUCUCGGUGUUCACGCUUGUUCUGGACCGAGCGUUUGGGUCCCGCCCAAAUUCGUAUGUUGAAGCCUUAGGGCUUCCCGGGGUGGCUGUAUUCGGAGAUGGGGCCUCUGUGGAAGUAACGAAGAUUAACUGACGUCCUAAGAGGGGGGCCCUGAUCUGAUAGGAUCGGUGUCCUUAUAAGAAGAGAUCAGGGAACUAGCCUGCUCUCUCUUAUUUGCUUUAUCGUGUGUACUCUCUCACCACGCUGCCCCACUCCACGCGCACACACACACACACACACACACAACGCUUUUCUGAACCUUGAGAGUAAGUUGUGUACAUGAUGACCUUUCACUCCCAAAUGAUUCUGUCUGUAUUUCUUAGGAACAUUCCCGUCCAUGAUCACCCUGCAGCUACCAACUUCAGUCUGCUUAACGUUGCCAUAAUACUUCUAUCUACCUUACUAUCUGUAUUUCCAUUUUUGAAGUUGAUCUAAUAAUGCCCUUUGUGGCGUCUUCCCUCUUCCAGUACAGAAUCCUGUCUAGAGUCAAGCAUUGUUCUUACUGUCACGUCUUUUCAGUUUCUUUCAAUCAGGAACAUUUCCAUGGCCUUUCUUUGUCUUUUAUGACAUUGACAUUUUCAACAAUACAGUCCCUCCCCCUCUUCCCUCUCAGAUGGAACGUUCCUCAUUUUGUUUGUCUGAUACUUUCUUAUGAUUAGAGGAAAUAUUGCUUUGCCGGCUGGCAUCCCGUGCGAGUGGUCGCCGGGUCUCGCAUCUGGGGCCACACAGUUUCUCUCUGCUCCUCGUUAAGGAUGCUAAUUUUGAUCACCUACCUGGUCCAGGUGGGGUUCAGUGAUAUUUUUUCCCUGAAACUGAUAAGCGACCUGUGAGGACAUUAUACUGUGAACAGGAACCCUCUUUUUGAAGGUAGCUUAAUUCAAUGUAGUCUAACUUACUGGCUUUUUCCUUUAUAGUGGAUGUCUUUUGUGUCCAGUCAAAAAAAAAAAAUUUUUUUUUUUCUUUGCCUAGCUCAGCAUCUAAAGGUAUUUUUCUGGUUUCUCCUAAAAGCUUUAUUAUUACUAGACCUUCGACAUUUAGAUCUGUGAUCCAUCUGGAAUGGAGGUUUUUUGUGCCUGAUGUAAGCUAGCGGUCAAGAUGUGGAAAUCCAAGUAAUCCAGAUGUUUUUAUUUACUUAUUUAUUCUUUUUUUUUAAUGUUUCGUUCAUUUUUAAUGUUUUGAGGGAGACAGAGUGUAAGUGGGGGGAGGGGCCGAGAGAGAGAGGGAGACACAGAAUCUGAGGCAGGCUCCAGGCUCCGAGCUGUCAGCACAGAGCCCGACGCGGGGCUCGAACUCAAGGACCGCGAGAUCAUGACCUGGGCGAAAAUCGGGCACGUAACUGACUGAGCCACCCAGGCGCUCCAAUCCAGAGGUUUUUAUUAAUAAUUUUUAGUUCCACAAGAAAUGCAUGACUAUGUACCCUCCCCCUAAAAAAUUACAGAUAAUGCUAACAUCCUCUUUCCCCCACCCUCCCUAAAUCUUUUCCCUGCUCCAGAGCAGGGACCAUGAAAGUAACCCUUGUUAUCAGUUUAUUACAUCCUUCUGGAGUUUUUUCCCUAAAAAAUAAAAUACCUGUUAAUUACACACUAUUUUCUUCUUUCCUCCCAUAGCUCACCUUGUAUGAUCAUUCUGCAACUUGCUUUUUUUCACUCAGCAACAUGUCUUGGAUGUCUUUCUGUGUCGACACGUCCAGAUCUCCACGAUGCUUUUAAACGGCUGCGCUGGAUUAUAUGCUAUAUAUGACACAUGUCAUAAGCUGUCAAAGUACAGCCUGUCUAGUCAUGGGAUUGGUUCGUCAUGGAUUUUUAAGUCGGCCGUAAUACUUUGUUUUGCUUCCACGAUUUUUAUUCAUACUGUGUCUGUAUCAUACUCUAUUUUUAUUCCUACUGGAUUCAAAGUCUACAAAGUACUCAUCGAGUAGUGCUGCCCUGAAAAUUGAGGCAUCCCAAAGGGGCGCUGCUGUCCCAACCCCCCUGAGAAGUAGAUGAGGUUAGACCUGGGGUCUGGAAGGCACUGGGCUCGUCCCGGAUUCAGGACAAGCGAAAGAGCUCAGGCAGGGUCUGGUGACCGGCCCGGGCUCGUACACAGCAGACCCCCCAGGCCUGCUCCUGGGGCCGCCCUGUUCUCUCCCUGCUUCACCUGCCUUCAGAGCUGGACUCUGACACAGGCCACCGUGCGGGUGUCUGUGGGGGUCUGCUCCCUUCCCACCCCUGAUGCCCGGGGGUCUCCCCUGCUCUCCCCCUACACCUGGGCUCUAGAGCCCUCCCUCCUCUGAACGUCCAUUUGUCGAAAAUCCUCUGCCUUCCAGGAUGGCCUUGCGGGACAGGUGCGAACACAUUUCGAAUCUAGAGAAGCUCCACAGCCGUUAAAUCCCAUGUUGGGUAAAAUAAUCAAAGAAUCUCCCCCAAAUUUGUCAACGGCGGCGCUGGGCCUAGCGGUUCCGUAAUGACUCCCACUUGAUGACAGAUCUCGAGAAAAUGCGUUUUGGAAGCAAUCAGUAUAUGCUGAAUAGAAUCCUAUUUUACAAGCGUUUUAUCUACUCUUAAGGACAUGGGAGAUGAGGAAAACAGAUAAGCCUCUCUAUUAAUAUUGAUUAGACCAUUAUAUAUCUGAAAAAGAGAUUUUAGUCAGAGAUGAUUGCACCUUACCAGUACAGCCUCCCGUCUUGAAUGGAGUCAUUUAAUCCGCCGCUCAGCGCUGGGGGCGGGGGGGAGGGGAGGGAGGGGCUCGCAGGCUUUGCUGCCUCACGCUGGGCACAGGAGGCAGGACAGGGACGCUGGUGAGAGGACCGCGAGGGCACUUGCACACUUUCUUACCAAUCCCACAAGGGCCCGAUAAGAGGAAGAUAAAAACAGCAGCGGCAGGAAGGAUCGAGGUCAGCCUUCAGCAACAACGGUUCCGUUUUUUGGUUUUUUUCUCUAGAAGAGUCCAGAAGUUGGAGCUAGAACACCUUCUUUUCCCGAAUAGCUUUAAGAAUAAAGA